CCUACGGGUGGCUGCAGUAGGGAAUCUUCGGCAAUGGGCGCAAGCCUGACCGAGCAACGCCGCGUGAGCGAAGAAGGCCUUCGGGUUGUAAAGCUCAGUCACCCGGGAAGAGAGACCAAGGGAGGGAAUGCCCUUGGAGAGACGGUACCGGGAGAGGAAGCCCCGGCUAACUACGUGCCAGCAGCCGCGGUAAUAC
rnacentral:rRNA from 1 species